GCUCUGAUAGGGUUUUUUUCGAUACGAGGAAACCUUCCUAACUAUUGCUACUUUCCAUUUCAUUUUCAUUUUCCAGGAUUUAAGGUUUUAGCGAAAUGUCGGAUGACGAAGCGAGGGAGGAGAAGGAGUUGGAUCUCACUUUCCCAGACGUUGUUACC